rfam:Tupaia chinensis contig171244, whole genome shotgun sequence.
GGAGAGUAUGCCUGGGAGGCAGAUGGGCUUCUGCACCCUGGAACCUGCUGGCCGUUUAAAUACAGUAGAUGCCGUUCAGUGCCUUGGACUUGGUCAUCCCAGAGACCUUGGCUUUCUGGGCUUUCAUCUUCUAGGGUGCAUGUUAGGUGCCAUAUUGUCUUCCUUGCUCUUAACAAA